UCUGUGUGCUUGUGGUCUUUCCUUUUUCCCUCCGUGUGUUCUUUCUCCUUCUCUUCCUGGUUUGCCUGAAGAAUAUUUCAGCAAAAUGGAAAAAAGGAAGGAAGGAUCGAA
rnacentral:ribozyme from 1 species